UACGGAGGGGGCUAGCGUUGUUCGGAAUUACUGGGCGUAAAGCGUGCGCAGGCGGUUUUGCAAGCCGGAUGUGAAAUCCCCGGGCUCAACCUGGGAAUGGCAUUCGGGACUGCAAGGCUGGAGUGCGGCAGAGGAGACUGGAAUUCCUGGUGUAGCAGUGAAAUGCGUAGAUAUCGGAAGGAACACCAGUGGCGAAAGCGGCUUCCUGGUCCAGCACCGACGUUCAGGCACGAAAGCGUGGGGAGCAAACAGG
rnacentral:rRNA from 1 species